GGCAUGAGUGGAGGCUAUUGUCGGUUUGAGAGAUUGGGAUUGUCGUUUGGGGCCGUGGCGGUUUGUAACGCUACACGGCAGUAAGGAGUCAAUAAGCAGCAAGAUACGCCCUGCCAGCAGCAGUGGCUCGGAAGCGGGAUUGGCACGUAAAACGUUGCAUUGUUAUUGGGCUUGACGGUAAGGUUCCGAGUACAGGUGUCGCUGGUGCCCCACCCCGCUCGUUCGGUCCAGUUACUCCCGCCGCUGACUGAGUAAAAGUCCAGGAGUGCUUGUGCCUGCGUUGACUCGUUGCAGACUCCCUGUCCAGCUGAAGGCGGGAGAAGCAGCAAAGAUAAUGACAAGAGCAGCGCCGCUCCCGCCACGUGGCCGAAGAUAGCUCGGCGUAGUGCAGUCAUGGCUGAUUCAACCAGUCCAUUCGGUUGGGAUUUAUCUCAUAUCAGCAACUUGCCCACCGUCAACCAUUAUCUGAGAGACGAGCUUGCAGGGCUUCAAGCUAAUGCUUUGAAGUCAUGUGAUGUCAUCUAAUACCAUAGAGGCUGCAUCUCAGCUUAGGUUGUGUGUGAAAGAACGCUAGUGGCCCUGUUCCGGGGUGGCCGCUUCGCUUCUAACAAAUGACAACUUAGUGGUCACUCAGGACGUUUAGAAUGUGUGUUCAGGUGAAGCCAAGGUGGUGGUGCGUCGCGCACUGACAAAGGUGGGUGCGGCCGCAAUUGGGUUUCAGUGGCGUGCCGGUUUUUUGCGCAAUUGGGUUUCAGUGGCGUGCCGGGUUUGCCGGGUUUCAGUGGCGUGCCGGGUUUCAGUGGCGUGCCGGUUUUUGGGCUGAGCCCCCCCAGCGAAGCGUUCCAGGGGGGGGGGGCGAAGCCCCCCCAGGAACACCCGCUCAAGAGAGGGUUCCCCUUUACAUCAAACCUGCUUACCUAGCUAUCCGUUUUGCCUAGGACCGCCCCCGACAUCCCUAUACUCACGCGCCCUCCACGGGUGCGAUAUGCCCCCACAUUGUGGGCGGAAUGCCCCAAGAUCCAGACGGAAGCCCAACGCGCCAGUGUUUCGGCCAAUUGUUAUUGCUUACAUCAUAGACAAUCCCUGUUCAAGACAGGGCUGGGCCCUACUUAUGCCUCUCGAUAGCGUUCUUGGAAGCAAGCCGUCUGGAUCUCCGCGACUCCGCCCACACCUGCCCCCAAGCCUGCCACCUGCCCACGCCCCUGCCCCCAGCCAGUAACUGCCGCAGCAAAGGGUGUGUUCUGCAGGCGGGCGGGUUGCAGCGGGAGCUUGGCGGACAGUACGCACGUCAGAGGAACUGGAAGCUCCAAGAAGUGCCUCCUGUCCAGCAGACCACUGCCAUGCCACCUGCAGCAGUGCUGCCGCUGCCGCCAUAGGCCGCCCAGUGACCGGGCGUGCGGUGCGAGACACGGAUGUGUACGGUAGUUGUGCUUUUGUGUGCUCGUGUACAUGUUUGGCUCCGCCCGCAGGGCUGUGAGAUGUUGGAGAGUGACUCUACCCGCUUCUAAAAAGGGGCGCGGCAUAAUCUACACCGUAAACUGCAUGCGCCACUAACACCGUCACAGUGCGGUCGUCGCCAAUAGAGCCAUGUAAUGCGUCCAUGAAGUGCCGUUGAAUGUUUUAGGCAUUUGAUCCCCACUGGAGUGGGUUCCGUGAGCCAUGCAUUGUCACAUCAAGGACGCCGCCGCCACUUCGCUGGUCAGGCGCAGCACACCCGCCGCGCACGUGAACCCGUGGAGGUGAGUGAUGUUGCCCACACGCCGAUCUCGCCUGACGUAGUUCUACUUAUGUGUGCCCAUGCAGGUGUUUUGUCCGGAGGGGACCUGGGCCGCAUGGGCCGCGGGUCGAUGGGUCGGCGGGUCGGCGGCGGGGAGGCCCGAGCGGCCCGAGGGCUGGCGUGGCGGUGAG
rnacentral:lncRNA from 1 species